rnacentral:rRNA from 1 species
CAGCCGCCACGGUAAAACGUAGGUGGCAAGCGUUGUCCGGAAUUAUUGGGCGUAAAGGGCUCGCAGGCGGUUUCUUAAGUCUGAUGUGAAAGCCCCCGGCUCAACCGGGGAGGGUCAUUGGAAACUGGGAAACUUGAGUGCAGAAGAGGAGAGUGGAAUUCCACGUGUAGCGGUGAAAUGCGUAGAGAUGUGGAGGAACACCAGUGGCGAAGGCGACUCUCUGGUCUGUAACUGACGCUGAGGAGCGAAAGCGUGGGGAGCGAACAGGAUUAGAUACCCGGGUAGUCCCUGUCUCUUAUAC